rnacentral:rRNA from 1 species
GACGAACGCUGGCGGCGUGCUUAACACAUGCAAGUCGAACGGAAAGGCCCUGCUUUUGUGGGGUGCUCGAGUGGCGAACGGGUGAGUAACACGUGAGUAACCUGCCCUUGACUUUGGGAUAACUUCAGGAAACUGGGGCUAAUAUCGGAUAGGAGCUCCUGCUGCAUGGUGGGGGUUGGAAAGUUUCGGCGGUUGGGGAUGGACUCGCGGCUUAUCAGCUUGUUGGUGGGGUAGUGGCUUACCAAGGCUUUGACGGGUAGCCGGCCUGGGAGGGUGACCGGCCACAUUGGGACUGAGGUACGGCCCAGACUCCUACGGGAGGCAGCAGUGGGAAAUAUUGCACAAUGGGCGGAAGCCGGAUGCAGCAACGCCGCGUGCGGGAUGACGGCCUUCGGGUUGUAAACCGCUUUCGCCUGUGACGAAGCGUGAGUGACGGUAAUGGGUAAAGAAGCACCGGCUAACUACGUG